UACGUAGGGUGCAAGCGUUAAUCGGAAUUACUGGGCGUAAAGCGUGCGCAGGCGGUUUUGUAAGUCUGUCGUGAAAGCCCCGGGCUCAACCUGGGAAUUGCGAUGGAGACUGCAAGGCUAGAAUCUGGCAGAGGGGGGUAGAAUUCCACGUGUAGCAGUGAAAUGCGUAGAGAUGUGGAGGAACACCGAUGGCGAAGGCAGCCCCCUGGGUCAAGAUUGACGCUCAUGCACGAAAGGCGUGGGGAGCAACAGG
rnacentral:rRNA from 1 species